rnacentral:tRNA from 1 species
AUUUAAGUAGCUUAAAUAAAGAGCGCGGUAUUGAAGAUACCGAGGUAAUUUUCAAUUCUUAAAUA